GACGAACGCUGGCGGCGUGCUUAACACAUGCAAGUCGAACGAUGAAGCUAGAGCUUGCUCUGGUGGAUUAGUGGCGAAUGGGUGAGUAACACGUGAGUAACCUGCCCCGAACUCUGGGAUAACUGCUGGAAACGGUAGCUAAUACUGGAUACGACCUACGAAGGCAUCUUCUGUAGGUGGAAAGAAUUUCGGUUCGGGAUGGACUCGCGGCCUAUCAGCUUGUUGGUGAGGUAAUGGCUCACCAAGGCGACGACGGGUAGCCGGCGUGAGAGGGUGACCGGCCACACUGGGACUGAGACACGGCCCAGACUCCUACGGGAGGCAGCAGUGGGGAAUAUUGCACAAUGGGCGCAAGCCUGAUGCAGCAACGCCGCGUGAGGGAUGACGGCCUUCGGGUUGUAAGCCUCUUUUAGUAGGGAAGAAGCGAAAGUGACGGUACCUGCAGAAAAAGCACCGGCUAACUACGUGCCAGCAGCCGCCGUAA
rnacentral:rRNA from 1 species